AUUCCAUCUCAAAGAUGGCUGGCGGGGACACGUCCAGCUCCAGGAACAUGAUGUUCUCAGCCUGUGAGGCCAACACCACGCCACUGAGGGCUGAGACGGGCGGCAGUGUGCAACCCAGCCUAUUCAAACGGAUGGUGAAGUGCACGUUGUGCCCGUAAAGGCCACAGACUGCAAAGCAGUCCAGGUUUACAGGAGGAAAUACGUCAUCUGCACUCAGCGGGCGCAGCAAGGAGAGGCCAAGGCACAACCGUCCAUGUGGGCGUUCACCCCAGCAAGGCGGUAUUCCUAAGCUAAAACUGCACAGAGACCACAAAAAGAUCCGCGAACAGAAAGCCAAAUCAUGCCAAGUAGGAAAGGAGAAGGGCAGAGAUAACGAAGAAACAAUUGAGACUAAUCUUCUACACACAACUUCUGUUAAAAAUGCGUAUGUACACCUCCGAAUGCUUAGGAAAAAAGUCUAGUGCUGCUGCGAUAACUUGGACAUUCCUGUACAGGUAUUUUCGUGUACACAGCCACCAUUUUCCUGCAGAAUUGACCAGGAACGCAGUGUUGCAUUACAGGGCAUGCGCAUUUCCAGCUGCACCAGAUGUCGCCAAAUUGCUUUUCAAGGGUUGUACCUGGAAACGUCUCCACUGCUUCAUAUCCUAGGAAACUCACAGCGCGUCAGACUUUUUACUUUUAGCAACUUGAUGACUGUGAUAUCUGAUUUUUUUAUUACAAAACAAAAACAAAAACACCGGAGGGAGAGGAAGGAAAACGAAGCUAUUUCCAUUUUUCAAAAUAAAGCGGCACAGGUUUGAGAAUAAGACUGACCCAGGUUUGAAUGGCGGCCCUGGCCCAGAAGCUCUGUCACCUUGAGAAGUGGCUUUUCUGUCUCGGAGCUGCAGCUGUGCCAUCCCCACCCUGAGGACUGCUGAGACAAGCACUCAGCACACAGCCGCGAGGGCUCACCACGGGCAGCUGCGACGAGUAUUUGUUCUCAGUUCUUGCUAAUUUCCAAUAGGGACACCAACAAAACGAGCAACGGGAAGAGUCCAAAGGCGCGCACUGGGAGGCAGAGGAGGGGACGAGGCAGGCGGAGCAACUCGGGGACAGGACACUGUGUCCCGCAGAGGAGAACACGCUGUGCCGUGGGGAGGGGCGGGCAGCAACACUGGGGGCUCCCUUUAUCACCCACGUACAAGGGAGGUGCCCCCGCCCAGGGGUCCUUGCAGACCCUCUGUACAGAUGAAAACCAGGACAGACAAGGCCACUUUGUUGCUGCAUGAGGGUCGGUGCACAUGGGGACAGGCAGCCACAGCGGUGGCAAGAAGACGGCCUGCGACACAGGCCACUGAAAACCAGGGGAGGGGGAAGUGAGGACAGAAACAACUGGUCACUGUCAGCAGCUGCCCGGCAGUGCACCUGAGCUUCAGGGCAACCCCCCAGGGUGCGGGCGGAGUCCACAAGGAGCCUGUGGCUCAGAAAGGUGGGAGAGCAGCGGGAAUCCGAACCCUCCCAAGGACCCUCUGGAUGGCAGUGGGCUGCCUCUCAGGAGCGCCACAGUGCGCCUCUGACAGUGCAGGCUCUGCAGGCAGGACAGGGAGCGCUGAGCAGAGGAUCAGCGUGAGUUGGCAGCCUGACCCGGUGAAGGUGCCAGGGCUAUUCUGGGUGGUGUGCGGGAAAGGGGCUGGGGGAAGGGAGUCUGUAACUGGGACACUGACCUCCCCGUCUGCUCCCUCUGCUGCCCCAGGCCCGCUGUGACUGCUCCCUCUGUGGUGCGCAGGCUGUGGCCAGCAGCCCAGAGCCGUGGUCUGGCUCUGCAGCCACCCACCGCCCCGCCCCACACCAGCCACAGCAGUCACGUGCUUGGUAGAUCCCGUGAGUGCUCUCUCCCAGGACCCUCCCUCCACAAUUGGCUGCUAUCAUCUUGUUUUCUUCCCUUGAUACUAAAAAAAUAAAAGAAAGAAACCAUCUCUUGGCUCCAUCCCAGAGGCUGACGCCAUUAUUCCCACUGCUGGCCCGGUCUGAUCACCCUCUUCCCUCCCCUGUUCUGAAUACAGGCACCCAACACCGCUGGGUGUUUCCUUCCAGGUCCUUCAAGGCAGCCAACGUGGCCAACCAGACUCAUCUCUGUGUGGUCUCCCUCUGCUCAUUUCUCUGUCACGCUGCCCCACCCCAGCCUGCGAGGGCUGCC